AACUAUGUGCCAGCAGCUGCGGUAAUACAUAGGUCGCGAGCGUUAUUCGGAUUUAUUGGGCGUAAAGCAAGCGCAGGCGGACAGAUAAGUUUUGUGUUAAAAGCAGUUGCUCAACAAUUGUUUGCGCUGAAUACUGUCUGUCUAGAAUACGGUAGGAAGUUUUGGAAUUGAAUAUGGAGCGGUGGAAUGUGUAGAUAUAUUCAAGAACACCAGAGGCGAAGGCGAAAACUUAGGCCGCUAUUGACGCUUAGGCUUGAAAGUGUGGGGAGCAAAUGGGAUUAGAUACCCCAGUAGUCCACACUGUAAACGAUGGAUAUUAGAUGUUGGGGCUUGUGCCUCAGCGUUGUAGCUUACGUAUUAAAUAUCCCGCCUGGGUAGUACAUAUGCAAAUAUGAAACUCAAAGGAAUUGACGGGGACCUGAACAAGUGGUGGAACAUGUUGCUUAAUUCGAUAAUACACGAAAAACCUUACCAAGGUUUGACAUCCCCCGCGAAGCUAUAGAAAUAUAGUGGAGGUUAUCGGGGUGACAGGUGGUGCAUGGCUGUCGUCAGCUCGUGUCAUGAGAUGUUUGGUUAAGUCCCGCAACGAGCGCAACCCUACUCUUUAGUUAGUUGUCUAAAGAGACUGAACAGUAAUGUAUAGGAAGGUUGGGAUCACGUCAAGUCAUCAUGCCCCUUAUGCCUUGGGCCGCAAACGUGUUACAAUGGCGAGUACAACGUGCCGCAAACCAGCGAUGGUAAGCUAAUCACUAAAAGCUCGUCUCAGUCCGGAUAAAAGGCUGCAAUUCGCCUUUUUGAAGUUGGAAUCACUAGUAAUCCCGUGUCAGCUAUAUCGGGGUGAAUACGUUCCCAGGUCUUGUACAC
rnacentral:rRNA from 1 species